UGUCCUUGUGAUUGACAAAGAUGGUAUAAUCACGAUAAACUCUGUCAGCUAGAAUAGACUAACCAAUAUAUGUGACAACAUCUGUGAAUUCUCUUGCUCUUGGCGACUAGUAAUAACAUACUGAUGGUUUGCUCCUUUGUCAGUCUCUACAGUAGCUCUUCUAGGUGCAACUCUGUCUACCGGAGCCACUGAAAAAGAUUGGGCUCUAUUGACCCCAUUACCAUUUCCAUGCCAGUUCUUAGGGUACGGGAACUUUCUCAUGAAAUGACCUGCCUGA
rnacentral:lncRNA from 1 species